rnacentral:piRNA from 1 species
UGACUAAACUGAUGCUUUCUCUCUAGUGG